rnacentral:rRNA from 1 species
UACGUAGGUGGCAAGCGUUGUCCGGAAUUACUGGGCGUAAAGCGCACGUAGGCGGCUUUGCAAGUCAGAGGUGAAAGCCCGGGGCUCAACCCCGGAAUUGCCUUUGAGACUGCAUCGCUAGAAUUGUGGAGAGGUAAGUGGAAUUCCGAGUGUAGAGGUGAAAUUCGUAGAUAUUCGGAAGAACACCAGUGGCGAAGGCGACUUACUGGACACAUAUUGACGCUGAGGUGCGAAAGCGUGGGGAGCAAACAGG